rnacentral:rRNA from 1 species
AUGGAUUUUGGGGCAGAGCAGCACGGCUGCGAGCAUUACACGAGGAGGUGCAGGAUACGGGCGCCCUGCUGCGGCGAGGUCUUCGGCUGCCGGCAUUGCCACAACCAAGCUAAGAAUUCGCUGGAGGUGGACCUCCUCGACCGGCACGAGAUCCCCCGCCACGAAAUCAGCAAGGUGCAACAGAACUGCUCCGGUUGCGGGGCAUGCAUGGGAAAAUACUUCUGUGAAAAAUGCAACUUCUUUGACGACGAUAUCUCAAAGAAGCAGUAUCACUGCGAUGGAUGCGGCAUCUGCAGAACUGGCGGCAUAGACAACUUCUUCCACUGCGAAAAAUGCGGGUGUUGCUACAGCAAUGUUUUGAAGGACUCUCAUCAUUGUGUGGAACGAGCAAUGCAUCACAACUGCCCUGUCUGCUUCGAGUACCUAUUUGACUCGACCAUGGACAUCAGCGUACUGCACUGCGGGCACACGAUCCAUUUGGAAUGCCUGAACGAGAUGAGGGUUCAUCACCACUUCUCGUGCCCGGUCUGCUCACGGUCGGCCUGCGACAUGACGGAUGCGUGGCAGAAGCUCGACCAGGAGGUCGCCGCCACGCCGAUGCCAGAGUUCUACCAGAAGAAGAUGGUAUGGAUCCUCUGCAACGACUGCGGGGCGACGUCGAGCGUGCGCUUCCACGUCCUGGCGCAAAAGUGUCCUGGGUGCAGCUCCUACAACACCAGGGAGACGAGGGGCGGCCCAGCUACAGCGGCGUGCUCCAGAGUCUGA